AUUGAACGCUGGCGGAAUGCUUUACACAUGCAAGUCGAACGGUAGAGGGGGCAACCCCUCGAGAGUGGCGAACGGGUGAGUAAUAUAUCGGAACGUGCCCAGUCGUGGGGGAUAACGUAGCGAAAGUUACGCUAAUACCGCAUACGAUCUAAGGAUGAAAGCGGGGGAUCGCAAGACCUCGCGCGAUUGGAGCGGCCGAGAUCAGACUGGGUAGUUGGUGGGGUAAAGGCUCACCAAGCCAACGAUCUGUAGCUGGUCUGAGAGGACGACCAGCCACACUGGAACUGAGACACGGUCCAGACUCCUACGGGAGGCAGCAGUGGGGAAUUUUGGACAAUGGACGCAAGUCUGAUCCAGCCAUUCCGCGUGCAGGAUGAAGGCCCUCGGGUUGUAAACUGCUUUUGUACGGAACGAAAAGGUCUCUCUUAAUACGGGGGACUCAUGACGGUACCGUAAGAAUAAGCACCGGCUAACUACGUGCCAGCAGCCGCCGUAA
rnacentral:rRNA from 1 species